GAGAGACAGCCCUUCAAUGCAGGAGAACAUGGUUCCAGAUGCCAGAGGCCAAGAAGCCCUGGCCCUGCUCACCUCCUUCCAGGUUACCUGACUCUACCUGCUGCUUCUUUCUCUGUUUCACAACUCACCAGAGUGCCAACUAGACAUCAUAACCGCUAUGCAGAAAGAUUUCCGUGCCUGAGGCUCAGACACACAGAUGAGUUCUCUCCCAUCCAGGGACUCUUCUCUCCACUAUGGAAAACCCUGGUUCCUAUUUAUUGCCACCAAGUUGCAGAUGCUGCCAUGAUGCCAGCCUGACUUCCCUAAGCAGAUGACCCCACCCAUGCAUCCUGGAACCACAUUUCUCUAGAGCCCUACCCCAGGGAAAGAUAGAAACAGGAUGCUAAUGCCCAUGUUCAGCAGAGAAGCAAUUACAGAAGCCAGGCCUUCCACCUUCUGCACCCCAUAAUGAUCUUGGGUCCAGGCUCCCAGAGGGAUAAAGAAUAGGAAAGUUAUUAUGGGAGGGGAUGGGAUACGGAGUUCUGGUGGUGGGAAUUGUGUGGAAUUGUAGCCCUCUUAUCCUAUGGUCUUGUCAAUAUUUCCAUUUUAUAAAUAAAUUUUAAAAUCUG